UCUUCCCUCUUUCUUCGUGCUUCCCCCCUGCACGUCGACCGGAAAGGCUCCUGCUUGCCGGGGUACUCGAGUGGCGAACGGGUGAGUAACACGUGGGUGAUCUGCCCUGCACUUCGGGAUAAGCCUGGGAAACUGGGUCUAAUACCGGAUAGGACGAUGGUUUGGAUGCCAUUGUGGAAAGUUUUUUCGGUGUGGGAUGAGCUCGCGGCCUAUCAGCUUGUUGGUGGGGUAAUGGCCUACCAAGGCGUCGACGGGUAGCCGGCCUGAGAGGGUGUACGGCCACAUUGGGACUGAGAUACGGCCCAGACUCCUACGGGAGGCAGCAGUGGGGAAUAUUGCACAAUGGGCGCAAGCCUGAUGCAGCGACGCCGCGUGGGGGAUGACGGCCGUCGGGUUGUAAACUCCUUUCGCUAGGGACGAAGCGCAAGUGACGGUACCUGGAGAAGAAGCACCGGCUAACUACGUG
rnacentral:rRNA from 1 species